UGAGGAAUAUUGGUCAAUGGGCGCAAGCCUGAACCAGCCAUCCCGCGUGAAGGAAGAAGGCCCUACGGGUUGUAAACUUCUUUUCUGUUUGAAGAAUAAGCUUGUCGAGACAAGUGAUGCCGGCAGGACAGGAAUAAGCAUCGGCUAACUCCGUGCCAGCGGCCGCGGUAAUACGGAGGAUGCAAGAGUUAUCCGGAUUUAUUGGGUUUAAAGGGUGCGCAGGUGGUUGAAUAAGUCAGUGGUGAAAGUCUGGCGCUUAACGUUAGGAUUGCCAUUGAUACUGUUUGACUUGAAUAUGGAUGAGGUAGGCGGAAUGUGUAGUGUAGCGGUGAAAUGCUUAGAUAUUACACAGAACACCGAUUGCGAAGGCAGCUUACUAAUCCAUUAUUGACGCUGAGGCACGAAAGCGUGGGGAUCAAACAG
rnacentral:rRNA from 1 species